AUUGAACGCUGGCGGCAUGCUUUACACAUGCAAGUCGAACGGUAACAGGCCGCAAGGUGCUGACGAGUGGCGAACGGGUGAGUAAUGCAUCGGAACGUGCCCAGUCGUGGGGGAUAACGCAGCGAAAGCUGUGCUAAUACCGCAUACGAUCUAUGGAUGAAAGCGGGGGACCGUAAGGCCUCGCGCGAUUGGAGCGGCCGAUGUCAGAUUAGGUAGUUGGGGGGGUAAAGGCUCACCAAGCCAACGAUCUGUAGCUGGUCUGAGAGGACGACCAGCCACACUGGGACUGAGACACGGCCCAGACUCCUACGGGAGGCAGCAGUGGGGAAUUUUGGACAAUGGGCGCAAGCCUGAUCCAGCAAUGCCGCGUGCAGGAAGAAGGCCUUCGGGUUGUAAACUGCUUUUGUACGGAACGAAAAGGUUUGGGUUAAUACCCUGGGCCGAUGACGGUACCGUAAGAAUAAGCACCGGCUAACUACGCGCCAGCAGCAGCCGCCGUAA
rnacentral:rRNA from 1 species